GCAACGCCGCGUGAGGGAUGACGGCCUUCGGGUUGUAAACCUCUUUCAGCAGGGACGAAGCGAAAGUGACGGUACCUGCAGAAGAAGCACCGGCCAACUACGUGCCAGCAGCCGCGGUAAUACGUAGGGUGCGAGCGUUGUCCGGAAUUAUUGGGCGUAAAGGGCUCGUAGGCGGUUUGUCGCGUCGGGAGUGAAAACUCAGGGCUUAACCCUGAGCCUGCUUCCGAUACGGGCAGACUAGAGGUAUGCAGGGGAGAAUGGAAUUCCUGGUGUAGCGGUGAAAUGCGCAGAUAUCAGGAGGAACACCGGUGGCGAAGGCGGUUCUCUGGGCAUUACCUGACGCUGAGGAGCGAAAGUGUGGGGAGCGAACAGGAUUAGAUACCCUGGUAGUCCACACCGUAAACGUUGGGCGCUAGGUGUGGGACUCAUUCCACGAGUUCCGUGCCGCAGCUAACGCAUUAAGCGCCCCGCCUGGGGAGUACGGCCGCAAGGCUAAAACUCAAAGGAAUUGACGGGGGCCCGCACAAGCGGCGGAGCAUGCGGAUUAAUUCGAUGCAACGCGAAGAACCUUACCUAGGUUUGACAUAUGCGAGAAUCCUCUAGAGAUAGAGGCCUCUUUG
rnacentral:rRNA from 1 species